GUUCUCAUAAGGAUUUGAUAGGGUCAUUGAAUCUCGGACUUAGCUUACCCUUCGACCGAACCUUAACACCUUCCGUUAUAGGGAUACUUUCAGGAAGACUUGAUUGUUAACAUUGUAUUUAAUAUCCUUUUGUUUCUAUAUUCAUAUACGACUUCUAUCUAGUUCACAAACUAGAUUGAAUCUACUAUUUUAGUAAUUAUUAUCAAAUGCAAAAUGGGCAUUCUUCGAUAGAUUCACAAACAACCAAGAGUUAACGUCCAAG
rnacentral:lncRNA from 1 species